GGGCAGGAGAGUGACAGAAGAGAGUGAGCACACGCUGCAGCCAAAUGUAUGAAAGGCAUACCUUUGCGGGUGCGUGCUCACUUCUCUUUCUGUCAGCUUCCCCGU
rnacentral:pre_miRNA from 1 species